UGAACGCUGGCGGUCGGCCUAACACAUGCACGUCGAACGGCAGCACAGUAAGAGCUUGCUCUUACGGGUGGCGAGUGGCGGACGGGUGGGGAAUACAUCGGAAUCUACUUUUUCGUGGGGGAUAACGUAGGGAAACUUACGCUAAUACCGCAUACGACCUACGGGUGAAAGCAGGGGAUCUUCGGACCUUGCGCGAUUGAAUGAGCCGAUGUCGGAUUAGCUAGUUGGCGGGGUAAAGGCCCACCAAGGCGACGAUCCGUAGCUGGUCUGAGAGGAUGAUCAGCCACACUGGAACUGAGACACGGUCCAGACUCCUACGGGAGGCAGCAGUGGGGAAUAUUGGACAAUGGGCGCAAGCCUGAUCCAGCCAUACCGCGUGGGUGAAGAAGGCCUUCGGGUUGUAAAGCCCUUUUGUUGGGAAAGAAAAGCAGCAGGUUAAUACCCCGCUGUUCUGACGGUACCCAAAGAAUAAGCACCGGCUAACUUCGUG
rnacentral:rRNA from 1 species